rnacentral:rRNA from 1 species
AUUGAACGCUGGCGGCAGGCCUAACACAUGCAAGUCGAACGGUAACAGAGAGUAGCUUGCUACUUUGCUGACGAGUGGCGGACGGGUGAGUAAUGUCUGGGGAUCUGCCUGAUGGAGGGGGAUAACUACUGGAAACGGUAGCUAAUACCGCAUAAUGUCGCAAGACCAAAGCGGGGGACUUUCGGGCCUCGCACCAUCAGAUGAACCCAGAUGGGAUUAGCUAGUAGGUAGGGUAAUGGCUUACCUAGGCGACGAUCCCUAGCUGGUCUGAGAGGAUGACCAGCCACACUGGAACUGAGACACGGUCCAGACUCCUACGGGAGGCAGCAGUGGGGAAUAUUGCACAAUGGGCGCAAGCCUGAUGCAGCCAUGCCGCGUGUAUGAAGAAGGCCUUCGGGUUGUAAAGUACUUUCAGUCAGGAGGAAGGGUGUGAAAUUAAUACUUUCAUGCAUUGACGUUACUGACAGAAGAAGCACCGGCUAACUCCGUGCCAGCAGCCGCCGUAA